CUGACACUAAUGCCGUGCUAUUGGACCACUUUUAACUUUUUUUUUUUUUCUUUUGUUAAUAUGCUCCUGUUUGCCAGAUAGUUUGAUUCCACUGCCGAUAUAACCAAUAAAAAUUGGAUUAGUGUGCUCACUCAACGCUUCAUUCUUGAGUAUUAUGUAACCGGUUGAGCUUCCCACCGUCUCCGUCAUCAAAUGUCUUUCCAAUCUAUUCUCAGUCUUCUCUCAGACGAUCAUCAUUCACACUAAUCUUGCAUUUUCAAUCCGGCUCCAACCAUGUUCGAUUGUCUUUCCAAUGCCGACUGCGACGAAACUCCCACUUAUCUCUCUCUUUCCGCUUCGGAUUAGGGUAUGUUGUUUGUGGUUUUUAUCGCUCGUCCCAAUGCCUUGCUCUUACGACAAUCGAUAGAUUGUUGCUGAAAAUUGAUUGGUAUUUGUUUCUCCUUCUCCACCGUCCACUAAAUCGAUGUGUUGUUCUGAUUUGAAGCUCACAAACCUUGGGAUUGGACUUUCUUUCAUGGGGGGAUACCAGCCGUAAGGUUGAAUAAAUGUUGCAACGUUUGCGCACCACGUGUUUGUUAAAAGUCUUGAGUGAACCUUUUAAAGUCUUGGGUCUUCAAAUGUUGUUUGAUGUUGCUACAGGCUUAUUUUCUUAUAGAAUAACCAACAAUCAAAAUCCGAGGUAGGGAGUAGCCCAUGCGAAGCAAUCAAAAUUGAGCCUUUGUCAUCUAAUCGAUUGUGAAUGAGGUCAAAUAUAAUGUAAAAUUCUAAAUUAUGAUUUUCAACAGGAAAAUCAGUUAGGUAAAGACAAGGAACAACCGGAGAAGCUUGUAAGAUUUUAUCUUGCCAAUAGCGCCAAUACAGACAACAAUCCAGCUGGAUAGAAAAAAUAUGCAUCAACGCCAACCAUAGUGUGUGAUAUGCGACCCACAUGGACCAUGCUACUCUCGGGUCAAGUACAUACCAAUGAUAGUUAUGGGCUUAGACACCUAAUCCAACAAUAGUGUGUGAUUGUGAAAGAACUUUAGGAUGAAAAAGAGUUGGUUUAAGAAAUGAAAGUAUCUCUGUUAUGUUUGGACCAAGCAGUAAACUCUUAACUCAUAUGAAAAGAGUAAGGUAGCUCAACGACUAAUAUGAAUACAACCUAAUUGGGAAGGAAUUUCCAUGAUGAAAUGUCCAUUAAGGAUUUUGAACACAUAUAGAGUCAUCGAGGCUUUGGUCAACAUGCUGCAGCAUGCUUCUAACGACAUCUUAACUAAUACAUAGUUUCGAAAAUGUACUUUCCCUAGAAAGCAAGAUCAACCUACGGGCUUCAAAAAUCUUCGUGAAAAUCUGUACACGAAAAAGAUAAAACAAAAAAAAAGUAU